CUUGUUGGUGAGGUAAUGGCUUACCAAGGCGAUGAUCAGUAGCUGGUCUGAGAGGAUGAUCAGCCACACUGGGACUGAGACACGGCCCAGACUCCUACGGGAGGCAGCAGUGAGGAAUUUUCCGCAAUGGGCGAAAGCCUGACGGAGCAAUGCCGCGUGAAGGAUGAAGGCCUAUGGGUUGUAAACUUCUUUUCUCAGAGAAGAAAUUUUGACGGUAUCUGAGGAAUAAGCAUCGGCUAACUCUGUGCCAGCAGCCGCGGUAAGACAGAGGAUGCAAGCGUUAUCCGGAAUGAUUGGGCGUAAAGCGUCUGUAGGUGGCUUAAAAAGUCUCCUGUCAAAGAUCAGGGCUUAACCCUGGGCCGGCAGGAGAAACUCUUAGGCUAGAGUUUGGUAGGGGCAGAGGGAAUUCCCGGUGGAGCGGUGA
rnacentral:rRNA from 6 species